rnacentral:lncRNA from 1 species
UUGCCGACGUAGAUGGAGCGCGCGUCGGCCUCCAUCUUCUCCUCCAGCGACAUGAUGACGGGGCCGGCUGCGGGGACACCCCAAAACGUCACCCCAAAACGACCCCAAAAUGGGACCCCGAGUGACCCCAAAAUGGGACACUGAGAGACCCCAAAUGGGACCCCAAAAUGACCCCAAAUGGGACCCCAAAAUGAGCCCAAAUGGGACCCCAAAAUGAGCCCAAAUGGGACCCCAAAAUGAUGCCCAAUGGGACCCCCAAAAUGGGACCCUGAGUGACCCCAAAAUGGGACCCCGAGUGACCCCAAGAGACCCCAAAACGGGACCCCAAAAUAUGACCCAAAGUGACCCCGAAUUGUGACCCCGAGUGACCCCAAAAUGGGACCCCGAGUGACCCCAAAGAGGGACCCCAAAAUGACCCCAAAUGGGACCCCAAAUUGGACCCCAAAAUGGGACCCCAAAAUGACCCCAAAUGGGACCCCAAAAUUGGGACCCCAAACCCCAGGGACCCCAAAAUGGGACCCCAAAACGGGACCCCAAAACGGGACCCCAAACCCCAGGGACCCCAAACCCCAGGGACCCCAAACCCCAGGGACCCCAAACCCCAGGGACCCCAAAAUGGGACCCCAAAAUGGGACCCCAAAAUGGGACCCCAAAAUGGGACCCCAAGUGACCCC